GGGUAUCGAAACUUCCUUCACGGUUGUGAUUUUCUUUGUUUAAACUUGAUGAAUUAUUAAUGAGUUUGAGAAGCAAAAGAAGAACGAUGGAGCGGCGAGCGGCAAAGCCGCGACCACGACAGACACGAGGAAAGGCCAAAAAAGAAUGGGGUUUGUCCUGUCUCGCUCUAUUUUCAUCCUCGUUUUUUUUUCCUAUUUUGUAUAAUUUUAGUUUUCCCUGUCUCGCGGAGGAUUUGAGGAACAAAACCUACUGCCCGUAGUCUGUCUUUUUUGGACCAGGUCAAUUUUAUUUCUGUUUGAAAGCACUAAAUAAGUUAAUUUUAAUUUCAACCACCCGGUUGUGAAUUUCUUCUUACUUCUUGUUAUAUAAUUGCAACCCGUCUCAUCAUUGCCACGUGACUAUCAAUUAACCAAAGGAAAAGUAAGAGACUGUUAGCGGACUAGGACUGCAUGUUUCUCAGCGUGACAUUUGUGAUUCGCGUUACAAAUGUAACUCGGUGUUAUUGAUUUCAGAAGGUCAAUCGCCUCGUGCGUUGUGAAAAUAAAGCAUCUGGUUUGUCAUUUGAUCAGCUGUUGUUUUAAGCGCGGGGAAAUUAUCAAAUACGAGUUUCCUCUUUCGUUUAUAUUUUCUACUACCCCUUUGCUACUAAGGUGAUUUCUUCUUUGGCUUAUUUUCUCGAAACGCAAAUAUGUUUAUAUUCCAUAGCCUGAAAACGUCCCAACCUUUCAACCCUCCAUUCCUAAGCCUCAUCACCUCUCACCGAAAUUUUGGCCUAGAAAUUUUUCACCAGGCCGUCGUAUAAAAAACUGUCCCCCAAAUGCACUACCUCGACCAUAUGUUUUGCCCUCCGGGAGAGGGGAGGGGGAAGGGGGGGGGGAGAGACUCCCACAUAAAAAGGACGGGGGGUGCUCGUCGUACGUUUUAGGAGAUGUAAGAGUGGUUUUGGUAUCUCUUGGUACCUUUUAGGGUGUUGAGCCGAAAGUAAUAUGACAGGAGAUCAUGUGUUGUUUUAGAAUUGGUGCCUCUUUUAAUAGGGGUGAAAACAUCUCAAGCCACGCUCACAAAACAGGGUCUUGGUACCUCUUAGCCGCUUAGGAGUCAAAUUCUUUUCAAAUUUCCGACGACCAUCCCUGUCCUUUUACAUGGUAGUUCCCCCCGGGAUCUUUCGUGGUCGUAGCGUUUCUGACAUAAUCCCAGGUUUCAUGUCAUCAAUUAUCACGUGCUUGUGUAAUGUAAGCAGGUGAUAACUUUGUGACAACAGGUGGCGUGAUGUUUGUUUUUCAAAUUCGUGUUCUAAAUUUUUGAGCCAUGAAAAUCACUUCUGUAGUUUGUGUUCCAUUUGUGAUCAAAGUCUGUAAAAGAGAGCUGCCGGUAGAAAGAAAAAAUUUACCAGUCUUUCUACAGACGAAAUAUCUCGGCUACUGGCCGAAAAAAGGCGAAAACAACUCAAAAGAGGAUCAGGACUGCUUUGGCAGCUGUUGCCGAACUCUGCACAUAAAACCCGAAGACCAGAAUGCCACCUUAAGCUUUGUCUCAACAGGUUUUGACUGAAAGUGUAUGGAAGGAGAGAGUGCAAACCAAACAAAAUCACGUAGAAGCUACAAUGGCCCAGAAAACGUUGUACCAUUAAGUGCAAAAGCCAAUAUCAUCUGGCAGUCUGUCAAAAAGACAUCCACAAACAUCAGAGGCGUCACUGGUGAAUCUUAGCUGAGAGUUUUCACAGCACCAA